rnacentral:misc_RNA from 1 species
AGUCGUAACAAGGUAACCGUAGGUGAACCUGCGGUUGGAUCAUUAACAAUGGUUUUCAAACCUUUUAUCUGUGCACCCUACAUCACUAUUCUGUCGGGCCCUUGGGCCUGACAGGAUAGUGUAUAUUGUUCAUCUCUUGCUCUUCUUUCCUCAAAGAAUGAAAAGCAAGAGACAUUUUUAAACCAUGUAUUUUAUCGAGUCUUGAAUUUGUAUUAAAAUGAAAAACUUUUGACAACGGAUCUCUUGGCUCUC